GCCCUUAGAGUUUGAUCCUGGCUCAGGAUGAACGCUAGCUAUAGGCUUAACACAUGCAAGUCGAGGGGCAGCAUUUUAGUUUGCUUGCAAACUAAAGAUGGCGACCGGCGCACGGGUGAGUAACACGUAUCCAACCUGCCGAUAACUCGGGGAUAGCCUUUCGAAAGAAAGAUUAAUAUCCGAUGGUAUAUUAAAACCGCAUGGUUUUACUAUUAAAGAAUUUCGGUUAUCGAUGGGGAUGCGUUCCAUUAGUUUGUUGGCGGGGUAACGGCCCACCAAGACUACGAUGGAUAGGGGUUCUGAGAGGAAGGUCCCCCACAUUGGAACUGAGACACGGUCCAAACUCCUACGGGACGCAGCAG
rnacentral:rRNA from 1 species